CAGUCGCCGCGGGAAUACGUAGGGUGCAAGCGUUAAUCGGGAUUACUGGGCGUAAAGCGUGCGCAGGCGGCUAUGCAAGACAGAUGUGAAAUCCCCGGGCUCAACCUGGGAACUGCAUUUGUGACUGCAUGGCUAGAGUACGGUAGAGGGGGAUGGAAUUCCGCGUGUAGCAGUGAAAUGCGUAGAUAUGCGGAGGAACACCGAUGGCGAAGGCAAUCCCCUGGACCUGUACUGACGCUCAUGCACGAAAGCGUGGGGAGCAAACAGGAUUAGAUACCCGCGUAGUCCCUGUCUCUUAUAC
rnacentral:rRNA from 1 species